GUUGGCUGGUAGUUGGGGUUCUUCAGGAUAUCAGCUGUGAGGUCCUGUUGGGGGGUGACUGUGUCUCUUUGGGACAGGAUCCAGGCCCUGCUCCUGUAACGAGGAUUUGAAUUUGAAUCCAGGGAACCAAUUGGCUAAGAUGGAAAUAGUCAGUGAAAAUAAAAAUGACCUGGUUGGCAGGAGGGAGGGGCUGCAGGGCUCAGGAUACCUGCCCACCUGUAACCAGACCCCUGGGGCUGAGUGGGAGGGAGAGAUGCUCCCCGCCCCCCUGCACACCAGAGAUGGGGCUCACUCUGGCUCUGAUGCUGUAAGGAGAGCAGAGAGCUCCAUGCCUGCCCCCACAGGGACAGC